rnacentral:rRNA from 1 species
UACAGAGGUGGCAAGCGUUGUUCGGAAUUACUGGGCGUAAAGGGCGCGUAGGCGGCCUACUAAGUCAGACGUGAAAUCCCUCGGCUUAACCGGGGAACUGCGUCUGAUACUGGAUGGCUUGAGUUUGGGAGAGGGAUGCGGAAUUCCAGGUGUAGCGGUGAAAUGCGUAGAUAUCUGGAGGAACACCGGUGGCGAAGGCGGCAUCCUGGACCAACACUGACGCUGAGUGAGCGAAAGCCAGGGGAGCAAACGGG